CUACCGGAGAAGCAAGUGCCCAUCGAGACAAUGUUGACCGGCAGCGAACUAGAAAUUCCGUCCAAAAUCCGCAAGGUACGCAGCACAAUAAUAGGGCAUCACAUAUCCAGUGUUACAAUUUCAAAAACUGGGGUCACUUUUCAAAAGAUUGUCCACAGAGGCGCAAUCGGCCCAACCUCAAUAAUAUACAGCAUAAUAACAGGACCUACCAAUCUCGACAAAAUCAGGGAAACUAAGUGAGAGGACAAGGCAGGAGGCUUGUACCUCUAAAAUCGAAAAGACCUCCUUCAUGGGAUUAUCAAUUACAAGUAAGACUAAUUUACCAUUCAUUUCUGUCUUUAUUAACAAUAUUAUUGUGAAUGCCCGCAUAGAUACUGGAGCCGAUGACACCGCCAUUAGUGAAACGUUAUGGAGAAAAAUUACUAAGA
rnacentral:lncRNA from 1 species